rnacentral:rRNA from 1 species
UGGCUCAGGAUGAACGCUAGCGGCAGGCCUAAUACAUGCAAGUCGAACGGGAUUGAGAGCUUGCUUUCAUGAGAGUGGCGUACGGGUGCGUAACGCGUAUGCAACCUACCUUCAUCAGGGGGAUAGCCCGAAGAAAUUCGGAUUAACACCGCAUAAAAACACAGCUUGGCAUCAAGCAAUGUUCAAAUAUUUAUAGGAUGAAGAUGGGCAUGCGUGUCAUUAGCUAGUUGGUAAGGUAACGGCUUACCAAGGCUACGAUGACUAGGGGAUCUGAGAGGAUGACCCCCCACACUGGUACUGAGACACGGACCAGACUCCUACGGGAGGCAGCAGUAAGGAAUAUUGGUCAAUGGAGGCAACUCUGAACCAGCCAUGCCGCGUGCAGGAAGACUGCCUUAUGGGUUGUAAACUGCUUUUAUACGGGAAUAAACCUUAAUUCGUGAAUUAAGCUGAAUGUACCGUAAGAAUAAGGAUCGGCUAACUCCGUGCCAGCAGCCGCGGUAAUACGGGGGAUCCAAGCGUUAUCCGGAUUUAUUGGGUUUAAAGGGAGCGUAGGCGGCUUGUUAAGUCAGGGGUGAAAGACGGUGGCUCAACCAUCGCAGUGCCUUUGAUACUGACGAGCUUGAAUAUAGUUGAGGUAGGCGGAAUGUGACAAGUAGCGGUGAAAUGCAUAGAUAUGUCACAGACCACCGAUUGCGAAGGCAGCUUACUAAGCUAUUAUUGACGCUGAGGCUCGAAAGCGUGGGGAUCAAACAGGAUUAGAUACCCUGGUAGUCCACGCCCUAAACGAUGAUAACUCGAUGUUGGCGAUAUACAGUCAGCGUCCAAGCGAAAGCGUUAAGUUAUCCACCUGGGGAGUACGCCCGCAAGGGUGAAACUCAAAGGAAUUGACGG